ensembl:lncRNA
GGUGUGCACGGUGCAGCCUGUGUGCGUGCUGCGGUCUGCGCAGGCUGUGUGCGGUGUAUGUGGCGGGGCUGUGCGGGCUGUGCACGGUGCAGGCUGUGCACAGUGCGGGCUGCGCUCACAGCGUGGGCUGCGAGUGCGGUGCGCGGUGCGGGCUGUACAGGCUGUGAGGGUGCUGUGGGCUGUGCUCGUGGCACGGGCUGGGUGUUGUGGGUUGUGCGGGCUAUGUCCAGAGUGCCCGGUGCGGGCUGUGCGUUGUGCGCUGCGCAGGCUGCAAGCGCGGUGUGGGCGGCGUGGGCUGUGCCGCGGGGUGUGCUGAGCACAGCAUGGGUGUUGUGGGCUGUGCGCGGUGCAGGCUGUGCGGGCUCCGAGUGUGGUGCGUGCAGCGUGGCGAGUGCGGUGCGCGCGUUGCGGGCUGCAUGUGGGGUGCAGACUACGCGCACGCUGCGAGCCGUGCGUGGUGCGCGCCAUGCGCGCCGUGUGGCCGGUGUGCGGUGCACGGGCUGUGCGAGCCACGUGCGGUGGGUGCUGCGCGAGCCGUGCACGGGGGGGGGGGGGGUUAAAGAAAGCCCUAAAGUACAGUCUCCAAUGCUUGGCAUCUCUGGUAUCACCAGGGCAAAGUGGGUAGAGAAAAUACCAUCAUUUCAUCAAGUAGCAUCUAAUUUUGACUCUUUAUUUAAACUUUCACAGGGUUAAAGAGGGUUUAGUAAAGUUAGAGGAAUAUGAAGUCAUGACAGUGAAGGCACAGCAGUUUCACUGCAAAGAGAAUUGCAUGAAAUGGGACCAAUCAUGUGGCUUUGACAGAAAUUUCUCAGAGGUAGAAGGAGAAAAAGAAAUCUGGGGGAUUCUGCUAUACCUCAGCUUGCUGAGGAAAUGGCAAAGGUAGGAAAAAGAAAAAAAAAUAGACAAAAACAGAAACCAAGUUAAAUUAAAGAGAUUCUAAGUACUUGUGCAAGUAUACCGAGAGAGGAAAAGCAAGGAAAGUACAAGGAAGAAAAAGGUUUUCAAAUCAAUGGGGAAUUAAUUUAGUGAUAGUUCUAACGUUGGAAUAGGGAAAAAAGUGCCCACAGUAAAGCCAUACUGCCAGCACACAGACCAGCUAACGGUCCCAUUGUGGGCAGUAGUUUGGCACUGUUAAUGACAGUCCACAGCCCUGGCUCUUCAGAUGAUAAUCUACAGGAUUUCUGAAAGGUUCUGGGCUGAGAUUCCACUGGUUCCAAAUUGUAGUCAGGCCAUGGGUUGGUUCCACAUCACUUGCGCAACGCACCCCAAGCCCACUGCUCUCAGAAAAACGUGGCACGAAGUUGCUCUGUGGUGUGUAGAAAAGCAUGCCCGGAGCAACCAGCGCUCCCAAGGCGCUGCGGAUGGGGCAGCUUCUUGACGCAGCAGUCAGGCAUCCACUGCGUUCGUGCUGCUCGCUCCCCUUGUGCAGACAACCCGCAACCCCGGGGUUUGCGCGGCCUGGGAAGAACAAGCGGAGAUGCCGUGUGGUGCAGCCCGAGCCCGGGCCACGAGCCUCUGCCGCAGCGCGGGAGCUGCUGCCUGACUCAGGCUGCGGCUUCUCCCUUCCAGAGGCUGUCGUGUUUGUGUGGUCUGCAGCUGCCAAAACCAAGUAAACAUGGGUAAAGCAACAGAGAGAUGAGGCACCCUCUGCUUUCCCUGAUAAUUAAGAGGAUCUUGAAAUGAGAAAGGGAAG